ACUCCUACGGGAGGCAGCAGUGGGGGAAUAUUGCACAAUGGGGGGAAAACCCCUGAUGCAGCCAUGCCGCGUGUGUGAAGAAGGCCUUCGGGUUGUAAAGCACUUUCAGUAGGGAGGAAGGUAGUGUAGUUAACACCUGCACUAUUUGUACGUUACCUACAGAAGAAGCACCGGCUAACUCCGUGCCAGCAGCCGCGGUAAGUACGGAGGGUGCGAGCGUUAAUCGGAAUUACUGGGCGUAAAGCGCAUGCAGGCGGCCUGUUAAGUCAGAUGUGAAACGCCCGGGGCUUAACCUCGGAAUUGCAUUUGAAACUGGCAGGCUAGAGUCUUGGUAGAGGGGGUUA
rnacentral:rRNA from 1 species